AGUUACCAUCAUUAAGUUGGGGACUCUAGCGAGACUGCCAGUGAUAAACUGGAGGAAGGUGGGGAUGACGUCAAAUCAUCAUGCCCCUUAUGACCUGGGCUACAAACGUGAUACAAUGGCUGGGACAAAGGGAUGCGAAGCAGUGAUGUGGAGCGAAACCCAUAAAAACAGUCUCAGUUCGGAUUGAAGUCUGCAACUCGACUUCAUGAAGUCGGAAUCGCUAGUAAUCGCGGAUCAGAACGCCGCGGUGAAUACGUUCUCGGGGUUU
rnacentral:rRNA from 1 species